UGCGCGCCUUCUGUCCACUCUGACUCGCUGCUUAUUUCGAUUGGUCGGGUUUUUUUCGGGUUGCGGAUGGACGAUGGGUGGUGGUUUUAUGGAGAACGUGUUUUGUUGAUUUAGAUGUAUCCGAAGGGUGAAGGAAGAUGCUGCGAUUUUGGUUGACAGGAAACUUGAAAGUCUUGAAAUCUGACGAAGAUCUUAUCGAGAAGUCAUUUCUAUCAAUGAGAUGUCCAAAAAAUGGUAAAAUGUUCUAAAUUAUAAGUGGUAUGCUUUAACGAGUGAACAGUCUAGCAGUCGAUAAUGAGCGGAUAUUUGUACAUCUCGUCACUUGCCAAGAAGAUUCUGGCAGUUUUGCAAACAACCGAUAAAUAUCGUCCAAGAAACAGGAUUUUAAUGAUUGAAACAACACUCGAGUUGGAACAGUUGUUGUUAACAAAUUGUCCAACUAACGCGGUUCUAUUCCGCGCGAUGACGAAUCGUAAUGAUUAAACAGACUUUUUAUUUUCAGACUGACUCGAAUGAAGGUGAAUUGCUGUUGGUAAUGGCAGCCGAAGAGCAAACAGAUUAUUUUCUGCGAGAAAAUUAAAGGGACACCCACGCAGAUGUUAAUCCUCCGAAGGAUAUUUAUUAAACCAGGAGAUAAAAUCUCGGAGUAACACGAACGAAGAACGUGGUUAAUCGAGGUUCAAAUUUUUUAAUUACCAUUACGCGACAUAUUAACGCUGUCUUCGACCGUCUAAAACCGUCUCGAUAAACAUGUUACAAUAUCUAUAAAUAGACGUGAUUUGUUAAAGGUUCGCUUAAGCCGAUUCGUAGAACAAAAUACAGGAAAAAAGCGAAAUAAGCCGAUAUCGUAUGUGGGACGUGGUAAGAAACGGUACGAGUAUUAUCGGUGGUACCAUUCUGCGAAACAGUGACGCGUUAUCGAUAAAUCAUCGUUGCGUAAUACGAUGAUAACAGUAACUAGUAAACAAAACAGCCGGAAUCGUGUCAUUGUAUUCGACAAUUUACUUUUUCAGAUUAUCUUCCUCAAUUAUCUUCAGGGAGCGCAUACAUCAGCGAGGUUCAUUCAAAUUUUAAGUGACACAGUGUAGACAGUACGGCAUUUAAAUGAUGAAUUUUUCAAUAUUUUUCUCAUUGCAGGAAAGUCCAUGAUACUUGUUUCAAUAUUUCUUUCAUAUAAAUUAGAAAUGAUUGCCUUGAUUGGUUUAAAUCGCGUAUAAAAAUAAUAUUUACGACGAGAAUUCUCGACUGUUCGUCACUCGGGAUUAAUUUAAUUCCCGGUUAAGCUGGGAAAUAAACGCGUAUCGAAAUUGUAUUACUUUAUCUGCGAAAGACAAACUCGAGGCUGAUACCAGCGGAGGAAGAAGAAUGUUCUCCAAUCUAUAGGUCGCUUCAAAAGUCAUUGAUUAGGAAUUCAGAGAUUUAAAAGAAGAAGAAUAUAAAGAACUAAUUGAUCAGGAAAAUUAUCAGUGUGUACUUUUAACACAAUCUACUCUAUGUAAAUACUAAAUAAUUCAAUUUAGUAUCAAUGGGUCUUUGGAUUUCCGACAAAGUUAAUCAGAAUGCCGAUGAAAUGUUAAUGAAAAUUUCAGCAUCCUCUCGAAAUUGAUUGAUUUUUUUAAUUUACCGAUUUUCGUACGUCCAAAGAGAAAAGUCAAUGGUGGCAAUUGUGAACGGCCACAGCAGGUGCUUCGUCACAUCUAUUUAUAAAUAGUCGAGCCAUCGUCUUCUAUUUCUUCUGCACGGUUCAACGAAUAAGUAUGCGAAUCACACACGGUACAUACAACCGAUACCGAUUGAUUCGCGCUAGUAGCAUGCGAAAUUUCGCAAAUCGGUCUCCUUUCAACCCGUGGACAUAUGCAAAUUAUUUUGCAGCCAGUUAUUGCGGUAGGUCGGACACGGACUGUUCGAAAUAAUUCUGGUGGGCGAAGAAAAUGAUUAUGAAAUUUUCUAGCGUUCUAAUAAUUUGGUGUUCUAGUAUUUCAACGUUCCAUUAUCCCAGGGUUCCAGUGUUCCAUCAUUAUAGUAUUCCAACAUUCCACUUUACUAUCUAUUGUUCUAAUUUUACAAACCCGGCAAUUUAGGAUCCUAAUAUUUUAUGAGAUUCUGGAUAUAAGUAAUCAAGAAUUACAUAAACAUUUCUGAGAAAUCUGUUUGUAAUGGGUUCAACGCGUGCGUAAAUCUUUUAAGCCGGUUGAAAACGUUGGCAAAAUAUUUGCCCUCCUUCGAAAUCGUGCUUCGAAGACAGACGAGAAACGACCACACGCGUGUGAUCGAAUGUCUUGAAAUUUUUUAAGAAAAAAAUAUUAUCGUGUAACCUGUAUCGUAUAACAAAUGUUUUCUUUUCCAGAAAAUUAAACAUUCCGAUCGUUUACGUUAAUUAGCGGUUCUAUUCUAAUUACCGGCGUUCGAUUGCUAAUGCCCACGCAUAAUUUGUAAGAACGAGUUAGAACGUAAAUGUAAAAAGCAGUACAACUCGUACAAAAAAUUGAUGUAAGCCAUUACUGCCGGUGUUAAUCAAGGUUAAAAGGAAUCAAUAUCGCGAAAUGGAGUUUGUGAAUUGGCAGACUAACUUUCAUUGAUUCCUCGCUUGCCAAAAUGUAUCUCCCACAACCGCAUCGGAAACAUCGGUUUUUGGUCGGUUAGAUCAUUGUCAAUGUCCAUCUUGAAGACGACGUUGCACAGAAAUAACAUUCACCAGUGAUGGAUGCCAAUAAAAACUGUUCCCCCCA